UCUAUAACUCGAGAUAUGGGCUGAACAUUAAAUAAUGUAUGGGCUGCAGGACAGAUUUUGACUUCUCUGUUGUUGCUACAAUUUGAACUUGAAAACGGUUCUUUUGAAUCUUGUAAUCUUCAUGAAAGUUUUAGGCCUAUAUCUCAGCUUUCCAUA
rfam:Populus trichocarpa scaffold_14_contig_160, whole genome shotgun sequence.